AUUGAACGCUGGCGGCAUGCCUUACACAUGCAAGUCGAACGGCAGCACGGGAGCAAUCCUGGUGGCGAGUGGCGAACGGGUGAGUAAUAUAUCGGAACGUGCCCAGUCGUGGGGGAUAACGUAGCGAAAGCUACGCUAAUACCGCAUACGAUCUAUGGAUGAAAGCGGGGGAUCGCAAGACCUCGCGCGAUUGGAGCGGCCGAUAUCAGAUUAGGUAGUUGGUGAGGUAAAGGCUCGCCAAGCCGACGAUCUGUAGCUGGUCUGAGAGGACGACCAGCCACACUGGGACUGAGACACGGCCCAGACUCCUACGGGAGGCAGCAGUGGGGAAUUUUUGGACAAUGGGCGCAAGCCUGAUCCAGCAAUGCCGCGUGCAGGAUGAA
rnacentral:rRNA from 1 species